GGGGUGCUCGAGUGGCGAACGGGUGAGUAACACGUGAGUAACCUGCCCUUGACUUUGGGAUAACUUCAGGAACUGGGGCUAAUACCGGAUAGGAGCUCCUGCUGCAUGGUGGGGGUUGGAAAGUUUCGGCGGUUGGGGAUGGACUCGCGGCUUAUCAGCUUGUUGGUGGGGUAGUGGCUUACCAAGGCUUUGACGGGUAGCCGGCCUGAGAGGGUGACCGGCCACAUUGGGACUGAGAUACGGCCCAG
rnacentral:rRNA from 1 species